CCUACGGGUCGCACCAGUGGGGAAUAUUGCACAAUGGGCGCAAGCCUGAUGCAGCCAUGCCGCGUGUGUGAAGGAGGCCUUCGGGUUGUAAAGCACUUUCAGCGGGGAGGAAGGCGGUGAGGUUAAUAACCUCAUCGAUUGACGUUACCCGCAGAAGAAGCACCGGCUAACUCCGUGGCAGCAGCCGCGGUAAUACGGAGGGUGCAAGCGUUAAUCGGAAUUACUGGGCGUAAAGCGCACGCAGGCGGUCUGUCAAGUCGGAUGUGAAACCCCCGGGCUCAACCUGGGAACUGCAUUCGAAACUGGCAGGCUAGAGUCUUGUAGAGGGGGGUAGAGUUCCAGGUGUAGCGGUGAAAUGCAUAGAGAUCUGGAGGAAUACCGGUGGCGAAGGCGGCCCCCUGGACAAAGACUGACGCUCAGGUGCGAAAGCGUGGGGAGCAAACAGGAUUAGAUACCCCCGUAGUC
rnacentral:rRNA from 1 species